UGGGGGGAUAUUGCACAAUGGGGGGAAACCCUGAUGCAGCAACGCCGCGUGAAGGAAGAAGGUCUUCGGAUUGUAAACUUUUGUCCUUGGUGAAGAUAAUGACGGUAGCCAAGGAGGAAGCUCCGGCUAACUACGUGCCAGCAGCCGCGGUAAUACGUAGGGAGCGAGCGUUGUCCGGAUUUACUGGGUGUAAAGGGCGCGUAGGCGGGAUGGCAAGUCAGAUGUGAAAUCCAUGGGCUCAACCCAUGAACUGCAUUUGAAACUGUCGUUCUUGAGUAUCGGAGAGGCAAGCGGAAUUCCUAGUGUAGCGGUGAAAUGCGUAGAUAUUAGGAGGAACACCAGUGGCGAAGGCGGCUUGCUGGACGACAACUGACGCUGAGGCGCGAAAGCGUGGGGAGCAAACAGGAUUAGAUACCCUGGUAGU
rnacentral:rRNA from 1 species